rnacentral:rRNA from 1 species
GGAAUAUUGCUCAAUGGGAGAAAUCCUGAAGCAGCAACGCCGCGUGGAGGAUGAAGGGUCUAUGACUUGUAAACUCCUGUAAAGAAGGAAAAAAUUCCCAUUUGAUGGGAGAUGAUGGUACUUCUGGAGUAAGCCCCGGCUAACUACGUGCCAGCAGCCGCGGUAAUACGUAGGGGGCAAGCGUUGUCCGGAUUUACUGGGUGUAAAGGGUGCUCAGGCGGAUUUGUAAGUCAGAGGUGAAAUCUUACAGCUUAACUGUGAAACUGCCUUUGAUACUGCAAGCCUAGAGUAUGGAAGAGAGUGAUGGAAUAUCUGGUGUAGCAGUGAAAUGCGUAGAUAUCGGAUAGAACACCAAUGGCGAAGGCAGUCACUUGGUCCAUUACUGACGCUAAAGCACGAAAGCGUGGGUAGCAAACA